rnacentral:rRNA from 1 species
UACGUAGGGUGCAAGCGUUGUCCGGAAUUAUUGGGCGUAAAGAGCUCGUAGGCGGUUUGUCGCGUCUGCUGUGAAAACUCGGGGCUUAACCCCGGGCCUGCAGUGGGUACGGGCAGACUAGAGUGCGGUAGGGGAGACUGGAAUUCCUGGUGUAGCGGUGAAAUGCGCAGAUAUCAGGAGGAACACCGGUGGCGAAGGCGGCUUUCUGGCCUGCUCUUGACGCUGAGGCGCGAAAGCCAGGGGAGCAAACGGG